rnacentral:ncRNA from 1 species
UGAUAGGUUCGCUAUAAAGGCGAUUAAAAUGGGAAUCAGGUGGAAAUCCUGGACUGUCCCGCAGCUGUAAGUUGCCCUUCAUGGUGUAAACACGGCGUCACUGAGAGUAUUGUUGAGUGCUGAGUGUUGAGCGAAAAGUCAAUAAUAAGCAUUUCUCGGGAAGACGUUUGCAUCGGCAACAAGUCAGAAGACCUGCCCCUCAC